CGGCUUCAUAUUAAUAUAUCACAUGUACUACACGUGGUACACUUGUUCAAACGAUUAAUAUGGUCAUGUUUAUUUUGGCUUUUUUAGUUUCUGACUAUCAAAAAAAGUGCAGACUGUCAAACGCUCAGCUUUUUAACCUGCUUAUAGAAUCAACAUGAACAUAGAAUCGAGCGAGUUGUUGUAAUAGUAGAAAUCUAUCACUUUCUAGAUCAUGAACUCUAUAGAUAUCUUCAUCUUUCUCCGCACUUAAUCCACGCGAUACUUAGAUUCUCCCUAUAGUCAAAUUCUCGCCACAAACAGAUCCUCAGAAAAAGCUGGUAAAAAACCUGAACCAAACAGAUUUAUAUGUCACAUGAAAAAAAAUUAGUAGUCUUUCCUGUUUCCAGAGCAUCCUCAUUCACAAAUCUAACAAAAUUAUGUCAUAUGUAAAACUAAGUUUGCAAAAAAAAACACCUGCGUGUAUAAAUUGAGGGGGAUAAGGUGUCCUGGUCUUCAAGAUCUAAGGAUCAAAUCUAAGCCCUAAAGAUUCAAGCAACAGAUUAGCCAAUUUUGGAAGACACAAGAAAAGAGAUGAUAAACAAAUAGAGAUUACACGUUUCAGCAUGGCGUCCAAAACAAUAGUGUUAGUUUCUCUAAUCUCUAAAGAUCUAAACGUGAAACUUUUAGAAAAAGGCUAAAUUUAAAAUUCCGGACGUCAUGUCCCUGUCAUACAAUACGGUCGUUCGAAUUGAUUGUAUGUACCGCUCCGCUGUUAUACGGCGCACAUGCCUACGACUACGUGCAACGUAACGUGGCCGGUGGAACGGACACACAGUGAUGGCUACUAGCGAGGGGCAUAACCGUCUCACGCGUGGAACGGGCCGUUGCCGGCCGCGCCGUCUCACGCGCCCGCCCCUUUCUGCAGCUCGGCCCGGACGGCGGAGCACGGCACGGCACGAGAGGCCCCCACGACGAGACCCCCCGUCCCGUCUGGCCGUUUCCCCCUCUCCGCACCGCACUCGGCACUCCACUCUCCUCCCCCUGACCCCGAGUUGAGUCCACUCUGCUGUCCGCUCACACCAACUCCUCCAUCCAACUCGGCAACUCCACGCAGCCAGCCCGGCGCCUCCCAUCAGUGGGUGGGUGGGUGGUUCGCCUCCUCAUCCUCUCCUCCCCGCACGUCCACGGCGAUGGCGCCCGCGCCCCCGCACUGCUGACCCACCCCCGCCGCGCACUCUCAUGACCGUGGUUUGGUAGGUGGGGCGGAGGUUGGUAGGCCGGGACGUGCCGGCAGGCGGUUACGGGAGGCGCGGCCGCGAUCCCGGGCCGGAUCUGGACGCCGCGAUGGAGGACGCCGUUGCCGCUGAGAAUGGGAUCGAGGGGGAGGGCUACGUCGUCGUCAAGGCGGCGGCGGCCGCGGAGGCGGAGGGGGACUCCGGCGCCAGCGAUCGUGGGGAUCUCGCCGCCCCCGCUGAGGACGCGGCGCCGGCCGGAUCUGAGGACGCCCCGGCCCCGGCGGUGACGCCGGACGAGACCGCGGCACCUGCCAAGGCGCCGGCCAAGGUGAGUGCCGUCCCGCAUACUGGCUUGGCUGCCUUCGCCCGUGCGGGGGUGGUGAUCCGGCACUGACCGUCGCUAGGUUGUGCGUGCAGAAGGGUGGAUCCGGGGACGCCGCCGG
rnacentral:lncRNA from 1 species